rnacentral:rRNA from 1 species
GACGACGCUGGCGGCGUGGAUUAGGCAUGCAAGUCGAACGGUAUCAUCCUUUCGGGGGUGAGAGAGUGGCGAACUGGUGAGUAACACGUAGGUUAUCUACCCUCAAGACGGGACAACCCAGGGAAACUUGGGCUAAUACCGGAUGUGAGCAACUUUUAGUUGUUUGAAAGUGGCGUAAGCUGUCGCUUGGGGAUGAGCUUGCGUCCUAUUAGUUAGUUGGUGAGGUAACGGCUCACCUAGGCAAUGAUAGGUAGGCGGCCUUAACGGGUGGUCGCCCACACUGGGAUUGAGAUACGGCCCAGACUCCUACGGGAGGCAGCAGUCGAGAAUAGUCUACAAUGGUCGGAAGACUGAUAGUGCGACGCCGCGUGAACGAUGAAUCCCUUCGGGGUGUAAAGUUCUUUUAUAUGUGAGCAGUGCUUCUUAUAUUAACAGUAUGGGGAGAGAGAUAUUAGCAUAUGAAUAAGCAACGGCUAACUCCGUGCCCCC